rnacentral:rRNA from 1 species
AUAUCAGUAAGCGGAGGAAAAGAAAUUAACAAAGAUUGCCCCAGUAGCGGCGAGUGAAGAGGCAAAAGCUCAAGUUGAGAAUCUGAGGUGUAACAGCCUCCGAAUUGUAAUCUGAAGUAUGUGCUAGAAGGCGAUGAAGACGCAGAAGUUCCUGAAAAGGGACGUCAUAGAGGGUGACAACCCCGUGUCUGGCGUCGGAUAGCUGUAUGGCAUGAUACGAAGAGUCGGGUUGUUUGGGACUGCAGCCCAAAAUGGGAGGUAAACUUCUCCUAAGGCUAAAUAUUUAUAGGAGACCGAUAGCGCACAAGUA